rnacentral:rRNA from 1 species
AACGAACGCUGGCGGCAGGCUUAACACAUGCAAGUCGAACGAUGUAGCAAUACAUAGUGGCGCACGGGUGAGUAACGCGUGGGAAUAUACCUUAUAGUGGGGAAUAACUUCGGGAAACUGAAGCUAAUACCGCAUACGCCCGAGAGGGGAAAGAUUUAUCGCUAUAAGGUUAGCCCGCGUGAGAUUAGGUAGUUGGUGGGGUAAUGGCCUACCAAGCCGACGAUCUCUAGCUGGUCUGAGAGGAUGAUCAGCCACACUGGAACUGAGACACGGUCCAGACUCCUACGGGAGGCAGCAGUGGGGAAUAUUGGACAAUGGGGGCAACCCUGAUCCAGCCAUGCCGCGUGAAUGAUGAAGGCCUUAGGGUUGUAAAGUUCUUUCGCCGAUGAAGAUAAUGACGGUAGUCGGAAAAGAAGCCCCGGCUAACUUCGUGCCAGCAGCCGCCGCGG